UACGUAGGAGGCAAGCGUUGUCCGGAAUUACUGGGCGUAAAGAGCGUGUAGGCGGUAGAGUAAGUCUGUAGUGAAAUCUCAUGGCUCAACUGUGAGAGGUCUAUGGAAACUGCUCAACUGGAGGAAGGUAGAGGAGGGUGGAAUUCCCGGUGUAGUGGUGAAAUGCGUAGAGAUCGGAAAAGAACACCAACGGCGGAAAGCACUCUGCUGGGCCGACACUGACACUGAGAGACGAAAGCUAGGGGAGCGAAUGGG
rnacentral:rRNA from 1 species